UUUCCGUAGGUGAACCUGCGGAAGGAUCAUUAACACGAAUUAUUUAUUAUCCAAUAUCAAAAACCAAACGUGAACCUUUUCCCUCCCUAUAUAUAUAUAUAUAUGCUAACCUCAUUUAAUUAAUUUUUAACACUUUAAACCUUAACUAGUUUUAAUGUAGCCAUUAAAACAUCUAAACUAAAAAAGACAAGGUUAUUCGAAAGAGUAAACUUUAACUUUUUUCGAUUUACGAAAAAUUUAAAAGAACAACUCUUAACAAUGGAUAUCUUGGUUCUC
rnacentral:misc_RNA from 1 species